rnacentral:Y_RNA from 1 species
GGCUGGACCAAUGGCAGUGGGUUACCAGAACUUACUAACAUUAGUGUCAUUGAAGUUGGUAUACAACCCCCACUGCUAAAUUCGACGGGCUAAAU